rnacentral:tRNA from 1 species
UGGCCUGUAGCUCAGCGGCAGAGCACCCGACUGUUAAUCGGGCGCGCGUUGGUUCGAUCCCAGCCAGGCCAGCCA